GGAGUAUCACAAACGACCGCUGCCUCCGGUUCUUUGAGCCGGGGGGAGAGGAAAGUCCGGGCUCCAAAGGGCAGGACGCUGGAUAACUUCCAGUAGGUGCGAACCUCAGGCCAGUGCCACAGAAACAGUCCGCCGGCCACAGAGCCGGCAAGGGUGAAAAGGUGGGGUAAGAGCCCACCAGCUGUAGGGUGACCUGCAGGCUAGGCAAACCCCGUCUGGAGCAAGACCGAAUAGGGGGGGAUGAGGCGGCCCGCUGACCCCCGGGUACGGUCGCUUGAACUUGUGCGCAAGCCCAAGUCUAGAGAAAUGGUCGUUCUUGACAGAACCCGGCUUACGGGAUGCUCCCCGC
rnacentral:RNase_P_RNA from 1 species